ensembl:processed_transcript
GAGCAAGCAGACGAAAAAGAAGAUAAGGAACAACCUUGUCAUUGAACGUGCCUUAAGUUCUGCCCUUAUUCUCCACCUCAAUCAGAAGCAGCUUUCUCUCUCUUUCUCUCUCUCUCUUGACUUUAAUCUCUGUUAAACACCAUUCUGACAAAACUUGUGGGAGUGCAGUCUGACUGGAGAGGAACGGGCGUAAGAAAUCAUCACAAGUAUCUGCUCUGCAGGAGGAAGACGUAUCUUUUAAAGCCCCCUCCACUUCUUCCUCUGCGGUCUCUUCAUUAUGACCUUGCUGGCGUCUGAGAGGUCACUGCUCAUCCGCAAUAAGUUCCGCUCAGGUAAGAACAAAGGCAGGAUCUGAGCUGGGGUUUUUUUUUUCGCUGUCCUGUUCACUUUGGUUGGUGACUGGAGUUCAGAUGAGCAUACUGGUGGCUGUUCUGGUCUCUUUGCAGCUUUGCUGAAUGUCUAGGCGAGCAGUUAGCAUAAGAUGACUGUAGACUGACACAGUAAUUGGAAAAACAGUAAUUACUGUAAAUAAAAGCAGCUUCAGUUCAAAAACACAUUUACAUUGUUUCAUGUUUUAAAGACUGAAGUUUAGUUUACAGUAAAAUAUAUAUUUCUGUAUGUUGACUGAAAACUGAAACACUUGUGAAAACGGUACAAAACAAACAAUGAAUCUAAGUUCAUUUUAAAAGAAAUGCUUUGAUUUUUUUU